AACGAACGCUGGCGGCGUGCCUAACACAUGCAAGUCGUGCGAGAAAGUUCCUUCGGGAGCGAGUAAAGCGGCGCACGGGUGAGUAACACGUAGGUAACCUGCCCCCCAGUCUGGAACAACUAGAGGAAACUCUAGCUAAUGCCGGAUGAGACCACGAUCCCUUCGGGGGUUGCGGCCAAAGAUGGCCUCUACUUGUAAGCUAUCGCUGAGGGAUGGGCCUGCGGGCCAUUAGCUUGUUGGUGAGGUAACGGCUCACCAAGGCUGUGAUGGCUAGCUGGUCUGAGAGGAUGACCAGCCACACUGGGACUGAGACACGGCCCAGACUCCUACGGGAGGCAGCAGUGGGGAAUAUUGGACAAUGGGCGAAAGCCUGAUCCAGCAAUGCCGCGUGAGUGAUGAAGGCCUUAGGGUUGUAAAGCUCUUUUACCAGGGAUGAUAAUGACAGUACCUGGAGAAUAAAGCUCCGGCUAACUCCGUGCCAGCAGCCGCGGUAAU
rnacentral:rRNA from 1 species